UAGCUAACUGAAUCAAUGGUGUGUCACCGUUGAAAGGUAUGGGAAAAUAAUGAUAUUACCAUUACUGUUAGUGUCGUCCAAACACUGGUGCCAGAAGACUCGGUAAGGCCAGAGACGCAAACGUUAGUCGUCCUUAACAGGCGUAAAGGGUUUGUAGGCUGCUUCGAAAGUCUUAGUUUAAUAAUUUACUUUCAUUACACAAAAAAUUAAAUUAUACUUUAUUUCAACUUAAAUAAAAAAAAAAUUUAUAACAGAAAAAAAUUAUAAUCUAAUAGUUUAAUGAGAUUAGAUAUAAGAUGAAUUGAAGCUAGAAUCAAGAAGAGGUAAUGUUAAAUAAU
rnacentral:rRNA from 1 species